rnacentral:rRNA from 1 species
CAUGGCUCAGGAUGAACGCUGGCGGCGUGCUAAUACAUGUAAGUCGAACGGAGUAUUUAGCAAUAGAUAUUUAGUGGCGAACGGGUGAGUAACGCGUUGGUGACCUGCCCCGAAGAGCGGGAUAACAGAUCGAAAGGUCUGCUAAUACCGCAUGAUCUCAUCAGGAUUAGAGGCCUGAUGAAGAAAGGAGCAAUCCGCUUUGGGAGGGGCCUGCGUCCCAUCAGCUAGUUGGUAAGGUAACGGCCUACCAAGGCAAAGACGGGUAGGGGGCCUGAGAGGGUGACCCCCCACACUGGCACUGAAACACGGGCCAGACACCUACGGGUGGCAGCAGUAGGGAAUAUUGCACAAUGGGCGAAAGCCUGAUGCAGCAACGCCGCGUGCGCGAAGAAGGCCUUCGGGUCGUAAAGCGCUUUUCGGGGAGAAGAGAAAGGACGGUAUCCCCGGAAUAAGGCUCGGCUAACUACGUGCCAGCAGCCGCGGUAACACGUAGGAGCCAAGCGUUAUCCGAAUUCACUGGGCGUAAAGCGCGUGUAGGCGGCUUGGUAAGUUGGAUGUGAAAGCUCCUGGCUCAACUGGGAGAGGACGUUCAAUACUGUCAGGCUAGAGGACGGCAGAGGGAGGUGGAAUUCCCGGUGUAGUGGUGAAAUGCGUAGAUAUCGGGAGGAACACCAGUGGCGAAGGCGGCCUUCUGGGCCGUACCUGACGCUCAGACGCGAAAGCUAGGGGAGCGAACGGGAUUAGAGACCCCGGUAGUCCUAGCCGUAAACGAUGUAGACUUGGUGUCGUUGGGUUAAAAGCCGGCGGUGCCGAAGCAAACGCGAUAAGUCUACCGCCUGGGGACUACGACCGCAAGGUUAAAACUCAAAUGAAUUGACGG